UUCCUCUUGAGUAACUGAUUUGAGGUACGCCCUGCCCAGUGACUUAUAUAGUUAAACGGCGGCAGUAAUUUGUCCAAAGGUAGCAAAAUGAUUUGCCCCCUAAUUAGGGGCCGGAAUGAACGGGUCCACGCAGAGCACCUGUCUCUUUUAAUUAACUAAAAACUAUUCUUUAGGUGAAAAAACCUAAAUUUUAAUAGAAGACAAGAAGACCCUGUCGUACUUAAUUUGAUAUGUAGUAGCAAUUACCUCCAUUAAAAUUUAGUUGGGAUGACUGAAGACUUAAACACUUUACAACCAAGCAAAUUAGAACACAACUCAUAAAUAAUAGACCCUUUUAAGACCGUUGAAUAAAGUAACCGCAGGGAUAACAGUCUAAUCCCCCUCAAGAGACCCUAUCGAAAGGGGGGCUUGGCACCUCGAUGUUGGCUUAGGAUACCUAUACAUGCGCAGCAGCUAUACAAGGAGGUUUGUUCAACCUUUAAAUUCCU
rnacentral:rRNA from 3 species